UACGUAGGGUGCGAGCGUUUGUCCGGAAUUAUUGGGCGUAAAGAGCUUGUAGGCGGUCUGUCGCGUCUGCUGUGAAAAUCCGGGGCUCAACCCCGGACUUGCAGUGGGUACGGGCAGACUAGAGGUGUGGUAGGGGAGACUGGAAUUCCUGGUGUAGCGGUGAAAUGCGCAGAUAUCAGGAGGAACACCGAGUGGCGAAGGCAGGUCUCUGGGC
rnacentral:rRNA from 1 species